rnacentral:rRNA from 1 species
CAAAGUACUUUGAAGAGAGAGUAGAGGACGUGAAACCGGUAGGGUGGAAGCAGAUAAAGUUGACGAACGUGUGUCGUAUGAUACAAUUUGUUGUUUUUACGAUCGAUGUGCUGGCGUCUUUGGUUAACUUAGUGUCUGGCGGCAAUGGUGACCCUGCGGGAUAAUCGUUGUCGUGCGAUGCUUGGUAUGGGAGGUUCGCUGGUCUUAUAGUCAUCGCUUUAAGUUCUGACCCGUCUUGAAACACGUCCAAGGAGUGUAGCGCCGCGAGUCUUAGAGUGUGAAUUGAGGCGUAACGAAAGUAAAUGUGGAUUUCACUGACUUGGGAUGCGUUGUCUUUUGGAUAGCGUUCCAUGGUUUUAUCGUAAUCGCUUGCGAUGCGGUGAAAAUAGAGCGUAAGCGGUGCGACCCGAAAGAGUGAACUAUGCCUGAGCAGGAUGAAGCCGGAGGAAACUCGGAAGUCCGAAGCGGUUCCGUGCAAAUCAUCGUCUGACUU